rnacentral:rRNA from 1 species
AAGAGAGAGACAUGCGCGCAUAUCAAUAAGCGGAGGAAAAGAAACUAACAAGGAUUCCCCUAGUAACGGCGAGUGAAGCGGGAAGAGCUCAAAUUUGAAAUCUUAAAGGGUUUCCCUUUACGAAUUGUAGUUUAAAGAAGUGUUUUCUGUUGAGGUUUUGGUAAAAGUUCUUUGGAAUAGGACAUCAUAGAGGGUGAGAAUCCCGUAUUUGACCUUUACUUUCAACUUUGUGAUACACUUUCAAAGAGUCGGAUUGUUUGGGAAUGCAGUCCAAAAUGGGUGGUAAAUUUCAUCUAAAGCUAAAUAUUGGCGAGAGACCGAUAGCGAACAAGUACCGUGAGGGAAAGAUGAAAAGAACUUUGAAAAGAGAGUUAAACAGUACGUGAAAUUGUCAAAAGGGAAGCGUUUGACACCAGUGUUGUUUUUCUGAAAAUCAAUUAAAGAACUGUUUAUGCUAAGCUGUUUAGACUUUAUCAGCUAACUGUUUAGUUUUGAGCUUUUCUUUAAUGCACUUUUCAGUUAACAAGUCAACAUCAAUUUCUUUUGCUGUAAAAAAGCUUGAGGAGGGUGGCUUGAGAUUCGUCUUAAGUGUUUAUAGCCUCUUGCCUAUGCAGUCGGAGAGAUUGAGGUCUGCAGCGUAGAUCCUUCGGGGCUAAAUGCAUUUGUGCUAAGUUAUAGCAUUUUAUAAACAACUUGUUGACUAUGAUUUGUCUUGUAGCUUACUCGCUUAUGUUAUUUUACCUACGCUUAGGAUGUUGAGCGCAUGUCUCUCUCU